rnacentral:rRNA from 1 species
CAAUAGCGUAUAUUUAAGUUGUUGCAGUUAAAAAGCUCGUAGUUGGAUUUCGGGUGGGUACCGCCGGUCUCCCAUUGGGUAUGUACUGGCGUGGCCCGCCUUGCUGUCGGGGACGGUCUCCUGGGCUUAAUUGCUCGGGAAUCGGAGUCGACGAUGUUACUUUGAGUAAAUUAGAGUGUUCAAAGCAAGCCUACGCUCUGAAUAUGAUAGCAUGGGAUAACACGACAGGACUCUGGCCUAUCGUGUUGGUCUGUAGGACCGGAGUAAUGAUUAAGAGGGACAGUCGGGGGCAUUCGUAUUCCAUUGUCAGAGGUGAAAUUCUUGGAUUUAUGGAAGACGAACAUCUGCGAAAGCAUUUGCCAAGGAUGUUUNCAUUG